rnacentral:rRNA from 1 species
UACGAAGGGGGCUAGCGUUGCUCGGAAUCACUGGGCGUAAAGGGCGCGUAGGCGGAUCUUUAAGUCGGGGGUGAAAGCCUGAGGCUCAACCUCAGAAUUGCCUUCGAUACUGGAGAUCUUGAGACCGGAAGAGGUAAGUGGAACUGCGAGUGUAGAGGUGAAAUUCGUAGAUAUUCGCAAGAACACCAGUGGCGAAGGCGGCUCUCUGGGACGGUACUGGACACUGAGAGACGAAAGCUAGGGGAGGCAAAUGGG